CCUACGGGAGGCAGCAGUGAGGAAUAUUGGUCAAUGGACGAGAGUCUGAACCAGCCAAGUAGCGUGAAGGAUGACUGCCCUAUGGGUUGUAAACUUCUUUUAUAAAGGAAUAAAACGAGGCACGUGUGCCUUUUUGCAUGUACUUUAUGAAUAAGGAUCGGCUAACUCCGUGCCAGCAGCCGCGGUAAUACGGAGGAUCCGAGCGUUAUCCGGAUUUAUUGGGUUUAAAGGGAGCGUAGAUGGGUUGUUAAGUCAGUUGUGAAAGUUUGCGGCUCAACCGUAAAAUUGCAAUUGAUACUGACAGUCGUGAGUACAGUUGAGGUAGGCGGAAUUCGUGGUGUAGCGGUGAAAUGCUUAGAGAUCACGAAGAACCCCGAUUGCGAAGGCAGCUUACUAAACUGCCACUGACAUUGAUGCUCGAAAGUGUGGGUAUCAAACAGGAUUAGAUACCCGGGUAGUC
rnacentral:rRNA from 1 species